rnacentral:rRNA from 1 species
GACGUAGGUGGCGAACGUUAUCCGGAAUUAUUGGGCGUAGAGGGUGCGUAGAUGGUGUAAUAAGUUAUCAGCGGUAAAUCGGGGCUCAACCUCGUGGAAGUCGGUAAUACUGUUAUACUUGAGUGCAGGAGAGGUUAACGGAACUCCAUGUGGAGCGGUAAAAUGCGUAGAUAUAUGGAAGAACACCAAUAACGGCGAAGGCAGUUAACUAUUCUGUUACUGACAUUGAGGCACGAAAGCGUGGGGAGCAAAACGG